AUGAAGAGCAAAUCCGCCAAGAAGGCCGCCGACGAGGAUGAGGCCAAGUCCAAGAAGAUCCGAUCCUCGCGCGGCAAGCGUCGGAGUGUCCGCCACAGCCGCAGCCGCUCCCCUUCCCCCGACGGCUCCAGCUCCAGUUCCCCACCCCGCAAGCGCUCCAAGAAGCCCACCAAGAAGAUUGUUGACAAGAGGAGGAAAAAGAGCAAGGGCAGUGGCAGCCGCCGCCGCCGCCGCCGCAGCCUGAGUCCAAGCCGUAGCCCCAGCGGUAGCCCUUCCUCGGUGUCCAGGAGUCACUCCCGCUGCAGUCACCAUAGCAUUAGCAGCAGCAGUGCCUCAGACUCUGAGAGGUCAGUUAGCCCACUGCCCAAGAGCCACUCCAAAGAUCCUAGGAAGAAGAAAGGAAGGGGGAGGGACAAGGAUCGAAAGAGGAGGCGGGUACGGAGAUCAAGGAGCUACUCGAGCAGUCCAGCCAGGAGUGGAAGUAGCAGGAGCAGGAGCAGGAGCAGGAGCAGGAGCAAGAGCAAAAGUAGGAAGCAGAGGGCGGACGGCACGAGACAUUAUGCAAGUAGGGACAGGGUUGUACAGGACUAUGACAAGUGCCAGGAUCCGCAGAAUGAGAAGAGAUCUGUUGAGGAUGUUUAUAGCGAGGAGGACGCGGUUGCUGACGAUUAUGAGAAGAAUGUGGAGCUGAAGGAGAUGGAAAGCCCACCUUCCAAGGAUGCUAAUGAAACGGGUGAGAUCUUACCUGUUAGUUGCGAAAGCCCAGAAGUUGAGGAGGAUUUGGAGCUCAUUCUCAGGCAGAAAGCUCUUGAGAACUUCAGGAAGUUUAAGGGAGCCGUGGCCAUGGUAGGCAAGACAGAAAACAAUGGUACAGGGAAGGAAGUACUAGCAGAUAGCCCCCAGAAUACUGUCACAAAAUUUCCUGAAGCAAGGUCUGCUGUUGUCCCUUUUCAGAGGCAGGGAAGCAAUAUUGGAGUUGGCCACUCUACUCGAUCACCUGAAUUUGAUGAUUUUGAGAAUGGUAGAAGUCCUUGGAAGCAGGAAACGACUCACAGGGAUAGAUCACCUGGAAUACUCGAGGCUGGUGAUACUUGUGGUCCUACGCAACAGCAGGGAAGCGGACUAGAAGAGAUUCGUUCAACUUCUCAUAUCACUUCACAUGAUGGUAGGAAUGGUGGUAGUGUAAUGCAAAGGUUGGGAAGCACCCCCGCGAGUUCUGGUAGUAUAAAGCAAAGGUUAGGCAUCAGCUCAGUGGUGAGUCCUGUGCAAGCAAGACCCAGAGUUAGAUCAGUUGUGAGUAUACCCUCCAGGGAAGGGCUUGAUGGCAGUACAUUUACAACAAUCCCUACAGUUUGUGAGAAUCCUGCCUCUGUCGAAAGCAGUAGUGAAGUAAGACAUUUUCCUGCUGAAAUAAACAAGCUUGAAGGAAUCGAUGGAGAUGAUAGAAAGAUUGGUGAAGCUUCAAUUCCUGAGAGCUCUGUUUUGUCGACUGAUGCGGGCAAGAGCCAGGCAGCAGGGACUGAGGACAAAGAUGGUUCUCAGUUUGAGAAGAGGACUUUCUCUAGGAUGCAUGAUGGAGAGACAGUGCAGGUCAGCUAUAAAGUCUACAUACCAGCGACAAGCCCGCGACUUGCAAGGAGGAAGCUGCAGCGCUGA
rnacentral:rRNA from 1 species